UGCGUAGGUGGCAGUGCAAGUCAGAUGUGAAAGGCCGGGGCUCAACCCCGGAGCUGCAUUUGAAGCUGCUCGGCUAGAGUACAGGAGAGGCAGGCGGAAUUCCUAGUGUAGCGGUGAAAUGCGUAGAUAUUAGGAGGAACACCAGUGGCGAAGGCGGCUUACUGGACGGUAACUGACGUUGAGGCUCGAAAGCGUGGGAGCAAACA
rnacentral:rRNA from 1 species